rnacentral:lncRNA from 1 species
AUUUUAAGAAUCACCAUUUACGUCAUCCUAUUUGGGGAGAAGAAUCUGUCCAUUCUUUUUAUCAAUCCGUAUUUUUAUCUAAAAGAAACCUCCAGAGGAUGAAAUACAAUCACUAGACUUUCUUGCCUUGAAUAUCUCUGCAUUUAGUAUUUUGUCCUUGUCUCAAAUAAUCUGCUUUGGAAGGUGACACUUAACCCCAACUGGCCACACAGCUCCUCACUGUUGCAUUUUGAAAGUUUGGUCUGAAAGAAAAUAUUAAUAAAAGAGACAUGAUCUCCA